rnacentral:rRNA from 1 species
UGGCUAGGCCAGCUUGGCGUUGGUUGUCCAGGUUUAAGGUGGUAGGCUGAAAUCUUAGGUAAAUCCGGGGUUUCAAGGCCGAGAGCUGAUGACGAGUCGUCUUUUUGAUGACGAAGUGGUUGAUGCCAUGCUUCCAAGAAAAGCUUCUAAGCUUCAGGUAACCAGGAACCGUACCCCAAACCGACACAGGUGGUCGGGUAGAGAAUACCAAGGCGCUUGAGAGAACCCGGGUGAAGGAACUAGGCAAAAUGGCACCGUAACUUUGGGAGGAGGUGCGCCGGCUAGGGUGAAGGAUUUACUCCGUAAGCUCUGGCUGGUCGAAGAUACCAGGCCGCUGCGACUGUUUAUUAAAAACACAGCACUCUGCAAACACGAAAGUGGACGUAUAGGGUGUGACGCCUGCCCGGUGCCGGAAGGUUAAUUGAUGGGGUUAGCGCAAGCGAAGCUCUUGAUCGAAGCCCCGGUAAACGGCGGCCGUAACAAUAACGGUCCUAAGGUAGCGAAAUUCCUUGUCGGGUAAGUUCCGACCUGCACGAAUGGCGUAACGAUGGCGGCGCUGUCUCCACCCGAGACUCAGUGAAAUUGAAAUCGCUGUGAAGAUGCAGUGUAUCCGCGGCUAGGCGGAAAGACCCCGUGAACCUUUACUGUAGCUUUGCACUGGACUUUGAGCCUGCUUGUGUAGGAUAGGUGGGAGGCUUUGAAGCGUGGACGCCAGUUCGCGUGGAGCCAUCCUUGAAAUACCACCCUGGCAUGCUUGAGGUUCUAACUCUGGUCCGUAAUCCGGAUCGAGGACAGUGUAUGGUGGGCAGUUUGACUGGGGCGGUCUCCUCCUAAAGAGUAACGGAGGAGUACGAAGGUGCGCUCAGACCGGUCGGAAAUCGGUCGCAGAGUAUAAAGGCAAAAGCGCGCUUGACUGCGAGACAGACACGUCGAGCAGGUACGAAAGUAGGUCUUAGUGAUCCGGUGGUUCUGUAUGGAAGGGCCAUCGCUCAACGGAUAAAAGGUACUCCGGGGAUAACAGGCUGAUACCGCCCAAGAGUUCAUAUCGACGGCGGUGUUUGGCACCUCGAUGUCGGCUCAUCACAUCCUGGGGCUGAAGCCGGUCCCAAGGGUAUGGCUGUUCGCCAUUUAAAGUGGUACGCGAGCUGGGUUUAGAACGUCGUGAGACAGUUCAGUCCCUAUCUGCCGUGGACGUUUGAGAUUUGAGAGGGGCUGCUCCUAGUACGAGAGGACCGGAGUGGACGAACCUCUGGUGUUCCGGUUGUCACGCCAGUGGCAUUGCCGGGUAGCUAUGUUCGGAAAAGAUAACCGCUGAAAGCAUCUAAGCGGGAAACUUGCCUCAAGAUGAGAUCUCACUGGGAACUUGAUUCCCCUGAAGGGCCGUCGAAGACUACGACGUUGAUAGGCUGGGUGUGUAAGCGUUGUGAGGCGUUGAGCUAACCAGUACUAAUUGCCCGUGAGGCUUGACC